AUAGCUCAGUUGGUUAGAGCAGUCGGCUCAUAACCGAUAGGUCCCAGGUUCAAGUCCUGGU
rnacentral:tRNA from 1 species